UCCUUUUGAUUUUUUUUUAGAUCUGAACGGGUGUGUUUUUCCGAUUAUGAUGUCUACAGUAGUCGAUGAUGAUGAUGUUCAGUUAGAAAUGUUCAACUUCAGAUGGACUCGGUUCAGGUUUCAAGGUCGAGGUUUGGUAAAGCAUGUGUUCACUCGGUCCAGAUUCAGCUGUGGUAGUGGGGAUUAUUUAGGUUCGGUUCACACGGGUUCGGUCAAGACAAGUCAAACUGGUCAAUGGUUCGGUUCGGGUCAAGCGGGUUGGUCGGUCUCAGCUUUGGUUCCGGUUGACUCGGUCAAACCGAGUCGACUCAGUCAAACUCAGGUCAACAGCGGGUCAACUCAGUCGACGCAAGACCCGGAAUACUAUAGAUGCACGCUAGCUAAUUACCGUUCUUGGAACGAUACUUCGGAAUCACACUAAGCUAGCAUUGCACAGGAACGUCAAGGUUGCAUUUUCAAAACUAUGGAAUGGUUCGAAUAGGAGAACCCAUGGGAAUUCGAGUACUUA